UGCUUAGGAAAUACUGAAAGACCCCCGGAGUGGGGAGACCCUCACUCAAGUCUCGGGAUGACGCAACCCCCCAAGAACUCACACAAGACC
rnacentral:pre_miRNA from 14 species